UUAACUGCCGCGGUGAUUGAUGAUCUUACAGCGCGUGCCUCAGUCAUCAGGGGUGAAGCGACAGAUUCUUGUAUCUUUGUGCUUUGGCUUGUCCCAGUAUCUUCUUCUCUGGUGUAGAUCCAGCCUAAACCCGUUUUCUUUGCCUUAUCCCAAGAUGCAUCUGUUUUGUAUACAAUCGUGAUGGAGAUAAGUCAGCAAAUCCAAGGGAGUAUAGGAGACGAGACUCCUGAUGGUGGUUGACAUAUCAACUUGCGGUGCUUGAAGAGGAUGGACUUUAUAGUAUCGUCUGCAGCUAUGUAAACUGCGCAGUGGAGUGGGGUAAUCUCCCAAACUUUCCAAGCAAAGGGGCAUAGGAAAAAGGUUUUCCCCCAUGGGUAGAGCUCGCAGUACCAGAGACCAUAAGAAAACUUAUAGCUUUGGAAGAGAAAUCACAUGCCCAAAUGUUUGCAAUCCAGUUGAAAUACUGGUUUGCAUUCAGAGCUCUUGGUUUAUUUGUCACAGUAGCAUCAUUGUAUCCUGAUUUUGAUGAGUAGAUUCCAGAUUGAACAGGUUGCCACACAUAAAUGUAUUCUGAGUUCAUGCGACUUGGUCGAAGAC